CGGAGGGUGCAAGCGUUGUCCGGAUUUAUUGGGUUUAAAGGGUGCGUAGGCGGCUCUUUAAGUCAGCGGUGAAAGUCCAGAGCUUAACUCUGGGAUUGCCAUUGAUACUGAAGAGCUUGAGUAUAGUUGAGGUAGGCGGAAUUGACAGUGUAGCGGUGAAAUGCAUAGAUAUUGUCAAGAACACCGAUUGCGUAGGCAGCUUACUAAGCUAUAACUGACGCUGAGGCACGAAAGUGUGGGGAUCAAACAGGAUUAGAUACCCUGGUAGUCCACACUGUAAACGAUGAUUACUCGCUGUUGGCGAUAUACAGUCAGCGGCUUAGCGAAAGCGUUAAGUAAUCCACCUGGGGAGUACGCUCGCAAGAGUG
rnacentral:rRNA from 1 species